GCCGGCCCUGAUCAAGACGGAGUGAGACACUCUACCCUCCUCCCGCCAUCCCCUUCCCUCACCAGUUCCUACCAUAUCAGAAGGCCCACGCGCGCGUGGACGCGCGACCGGCCUCCCUUCCCGACCUUCCCCAGACCUUUCCCUAUGACGACGCGUGUUCUUUUUUUUUUUUUUUGUCUUCUCUAGUUUGGCGCGAAAGCGUGCUCGCGAUGCGACCACAAGUGUCGAAGCCAUGGACGCUGCUUGGAAUGGCGUUGUGGUCCACUGGCUGCACCCAUCGUGGACCUUGCUGUCGCCUUCCCCCCCCUGCCUACCUCAAGAAACACUGCAUUCAGGGGCGCGGGUAUGGUGCGGUCCCGACAACUUCUUUUUGUUCGUUUUCUUUUCACUCGCGAAAAGAAACCCACUCAAGUGAUGAAGCCCUGCAGCCUGCGUUUCCUGUAGGCCAGAGCUGAAUGGACGCUGUGUACGAUGAUGUAAAUGCAGUGAGCAACUCAGGGAAUAUUGCAAAUGCAAAAAGAGUUCAUGAAUUGUCUGUAUAAUAGUGUAAACUGUGCUCAGGCUGUGGAAUCCAACGAGAUAUCCAUGUGUUCUACCUGUCUAUGGCCUGUUGUAUGUGCAUCCUAUCAUUGUCCUUUUUACAUAGUGGUGACAUUGUUUCUUUUUUUAGACUUGCUUUUGAUGUUUGAGCAGCACUGCCGGCUUAAUAGGCAUGAUCAUGCUACCUCAGAUAAGGCUGGUAAUUCCUGUUUUUUACCACUCUACCUCAAAAUUGCAUUUUUACCUAUUGCAAGUAUUCGGACCAAAAAUCUCACCCAUUUACUCUUUUUCACUCACACUGUCCAGGCAUUCAUACCAUUUAAUCACUCCGAGCACUGAAGGCAGGCAAACUGAGAUUCACGUUAUGUGAAAAGCACACAACUUUCAAAAGGAAAACGACUAGACGGGACAGCUGCCAGUGCCAUUAUACAUAAAAUGAAAUGUUUUAUCCUUUCAACAUAUUAUGUAUACAAUGUACAUUUUUUUAUACCAGUGUCUGAUCACUGAGACUGAUGUUAGUUUCAGAUAUAGUUGUGUUGAUCUUGGAUAGAGAUUUAUCUGGGUUUUACGUGUAUUUUGCCCCCCUGUCUACUUCAUUUCUUGCUUGGGCUUCAACAGUUCUUUUCUCAGUGAAGGAAAAUGAGAAAGCAUCAAAGGAAGAAUGUGUCCAAUUUUUGUAUUACAUUGUUGGCUCAUAUUUAGGAACGUUUUCCCACCUUUGCAUUGUUGAUUGUGUCCUGUACAUAGGUCUCAGUGGGACGGCUGUCAAGACAAACCCCCUCCUACAAAGGCUGUGGUACAUUUUUGGCCUUAACUGCUGUUCCAAUGACACAACGAUUACCCGUGCACGCAGUGUCCAAAGUGAAUUCCUAGCCACAUUGAUGGCAUCCACCAGCUCUAAAGCUUUGCUACAUAAUCUUGCUUAUUUUCUUUCAAAUUUUUAACCAUAUAGAAUGUGCAUUGCCUGGUUCUUAAGGUAUUUGAAGAUGCAGCAUAUUUCAGAUAGCAUGAAAUAUUUGAAAAGGAUGCAUAACUGUGUUCUCUGUGUCUUUAGGGAAUUUCAUUAAGGCAUAUUUAUAGCUUAAAGCUAUUAAUAGAGCCAAAAACACUUUCGAAUAUGUUUCAGUGCACUAUUAAAGAUUGAAUAAUGCACAGUGCAUCAAAUAAAGUUCACUCUCCUUGAGGUCCUCAGUUGGUAUCUUUGUACACUGCGAGCACAUGAAGGAAGCACGUGCAAAUGGACGCAGUUCAAGUCCUGUUGUACCCUCUCUCAAAAUCAAAUGCACGAAAGCAGAAAACUCAAAAGAUGUUAACAUAAUUUAAAUAUAUAUGUGUGUAAACACAAUGUGUGUGCUACUUUAGAUAUAAUAUCCGCUUGUAAGAAUAACAGCUACUGGUAUUAUAUUUGCAAGUGUGCGCGUGAGAAGUGAGAAACCUUCUGAAGCACUUGUGUAACAAACCUUAAGAGACGCUUUGGCACGGGAAUACUUUGGCAUUUUUCUUGAUGGCUAUUGACCAUGUAGACCAUGUUCGUUCGCACUGUUUUGGUGUGCGAGAGUGUGACUACUUUAUACUGGAUUGAACUUUAACUACUAGUCUGCUCAUUCAGACAAGACAAACUUUAAUCACUGCUAUCUGCCAUAUCUGUUUUCUGUUAUUAUUAUUUUCACAUUAUCACUACACAUUGUGUAACAGCCUUCUGCAUUGGAUCCUGUUUUGUGUGCUCAUUCUGCACAAGAUUCGUAGCAUGAUUCGUGUUUCUUCGAGUUUUCUACUUCAGCAGUAUGAGAUGGAGGUGGGGUCUUCUUCAUCGUCGCUGAUGCCACAUGUGCUGAAAUCGGUCAGUUUGUUUUGGGGUGAAAAACUACAUUUUCUACCAAUUCUUUUUUGUCUGGCACACCAAAGCCGAGUACCGCACAUUAUCAACACAGGAAACAAACCCUUUGUAUCCAGCAGUUGCGGCGUGAAACACAAAAUUAUUUCUCCUCUGUAGUACGUCAUUAUGCAUUACUUUGCCUUUUGAUGUGGCGGAUCGUUUAACUUUUGGUUCUCACCACAUGACUCAUGCAUCUCACUACAGAGCAGAUGUCAGUGUCCCUGCUUGGUGGCUACUUGUAAUCAGCUUUCGAGAGGCUCCCGUUGAUUUUCGGCUACACUGCCUUGCAAUACUUUUAAAUUUAUUUAUAUAUGUUACAUCAGCAAAACAUGCAAUAAGUUUCUACGGGUGUAUUUGAAACUCUUAUGCGAGUACCCACGAAAUAUAGUGGCGUCAAAACCGAUAAACAAUAAAGAUUUGGCAAAGAAUUUUACUGCUGGCAACCUUGUAUGUUUUACGCAAGAUUGCUUUGCCUUCAUGAAAAAACAAAAUUCAGAUUGUGUAAAUGAAUCUUGUCGUUCGAAAUGCUGACAAGCGUGUUUGGCCUACCACUUUAGUAGAAAGGCAUAUUGGAAUUAACACAAUGACCCCCGACGACAGCAGUCUGUAGAGUGCUCUCAUAUUCAUCCGCAUGACUUGUGGCCAUUUGAAAAUGGCGCAAAGUGCAUUCUGCAUGAGGAAGCAAAACCAUUGAAUCUUGCGUGGUUCAUUUUUGUACGGCUGUUGAUCUCUCGUUUUCUUCUUUCGCACCGCACAUCACCAAAUUCGGUGCUUAAUUUUCACCGCCUUCGCAUAGCGUCGGUUAUAGAAAUUUUCCUCACGUUAGAUCUCGUGUCGUUUAACAUUCAGGAAUGGCGGUAUUCGCUCAAACUGGGGGCUACAAGCUGGUCAAAGCCAGAUGCUCACCUCGUGACGUAAAUUGGUUAAGCCUGAUUGGUUAAUUAAGCUGGCAUUACCGCCUUUCACGUGAUUUGCGGCAUCACUUGACUUCAUAAGGAAUUGUUUUAUUUGGAAGUCGUCGCCCGAGCGGUGUUAAAAACGCCUGUUUGGGUGCCUCGCUCGCGUUUUCCCUGGCUCAGAUCGUUGAUACUUAUCGCACCACCCGUGGCAUCUUUCGGAAGGGGGUUCCUGGUAUGCCGCCUCGCAAGAGUGCACUGCUUCUUCUUCCAGUGCCAAUCGAACCUCUCACGUCGCAUCAUCCUCCGCAAUCCGCGCUGCACAUUUUUUUUUAUGUUUCUUUAGCGGGCGCAUGCGCGUCGCACACUCAUACACUCACUCACACACGCAGACAUUGAACACGUACAAGCAGCAUUUCGCAAUAAAAUCGACAUCGUUGAAAGCGGGUAUUUUUUCUGUUGUCUUAACCGAAGGACUGAACUGCAGGGAAGUGUGCAACGGUAACUUAUGUUGUGUAAUCGCCUGAGAGUAGGAGAUCGCAAAGCAGAGGCUUUUCUUCUCCCUCUUUUAUACUUCUAUUUGUCUUAUCCUUCAUGUUUCGUUUGUUUUUUACGCAAGGAAAAAAAAGAGUAUGUUUAUCAUAGUUUCUUUGUUUAUAUAGUCUUAAUUCUCUCUCGCUCGUGCUUUCCUUCUCCCCUCCUCCUCACACAAUUUUUAUGUGUGUGCAGUUUGUGGUGAAGUCUCUCAUCGUUGGUGGACCUUUUCUUUAUUUUUUUCCUCGCGCUUUCUCGAAAAUGAGCGUGAACGUACGUGUGUGGCGAAGUUUUUCCAAGUCCAAAUAUAAUAUACAUGCUACGGUGUGACGUGUCGGCGUUCCGCUGCGUUCUCCUGUCAACAUUCAGGGAUUUCUACACAUGCUGAUGCAUAUUAUACAGUUAUAGGGGGAACGUAGCGGAAGCUUUGGCACGAUGCAAGCUUCGCUUAUUUUUAUUUUAGACUGAUUUGCCGUAGUGCUUUGUCGCAUUCUUUUUUUAUUUUUGCUCUUCACUUUCAUGACGUAUUUUUUUGUUGUUGUUGUGCUGUAUGGUCGUGACUGAACGGACGAUUGUGUGUAAAAGCCAUAAGCAGGAAAAUGAAAAAAGUGAAUGCACUACGUUAUUCGACAGUCGAGCUCUGCAAGGUUUUUUUGUUAUGUUGCACAUAUGUUAGGACAUCAGCCGAUUCCAAGGUGUUGGGUAUCACUUAAUGGAGCUGACUCUAGUGUUACGUGAUUGCUGUCAUUUCUUAAGUGUAACUAUAACUUAAGAAAUCACAUUAAAAUGUUGUGCGAAAAACCUUUGUCAACGUCUAAACAGGCAUGUGCGAAAUGUGGCGACAUCUUACUAAUGAGGCUGACAUUAAACUGACAUUUCGUACUUUAUAACUGCAGGUAAUCGUCAUAUUUAAAAUUAGCCUUUUUAUGAGAGGCAGAAAUGUGAACUAACUCUUGCAGAGCACGACGUUGGUAUACUACUUCCGGGGUAGUAAGGAGAAUCGUGUGUGCGUUACAUGCGUUGAAAUUUAUGCUAAUCUACUUUACUGAACGUAUGCUCGACCAGGGAAGCACAAGGGCAAACUGAAACUGUCAGAGUUUCACUUUCAUAAAUUUAGUUCUCAUAUGAGAUGUAGUCGGCUUGGAAUAGUGCCAUUUUAUCACAAUCGUAAUAGCACUGACUCUUAAUGAAAAGGAAAAAAAAAAGUGUUUGUGCGUUAUGAUAUCAUUUUUAAUAAAAGUUUUGUUUUACAAGAAAAAUUUGUUGUUAGGUUUAAUAUAUUUACUGUCUCUCGUGUAAUCUUCGAGUUGCACUGGAUUAUUCUUAUAGGUUCGUAUAUCUGAAAAAAAAUACAUCUUGACUGUGAAUGGAAACUGUUCAAAAUUCCCGCCUAUGGGGCAAUCAAUAGGAUUGUAGCGCCGCCUAGUGGCUGAUCAAUGCAUCGUAACAAGGGAAGUGGUGCAACCUACCACUACACUGCGCACUAGCUCUUUGGAAGGAAAGCGGUCUGCAGUGGUGCUUCGUUCGAAGUGACCGCACAUAACUGCGUCGUCAACUGUCUUUCUUGGAACAUUAUUUUAACUGUAAAUGCCGAUUAUUGUAACAGUGCAAUCAAAUCGCUUUCUAGCCAGGUCUUCAUUGCAUGGUUUUCAAUGGUGAUUAGACUUACUUAAGUCUCUUUAUUGCCCCGGUUGUGGUGUCCCAGACCACCGUAGUGAUUGUGUAAGGAAACUAAGAUAUGAAAGAUGCGAGAACGUGUGAAAAGGAAACAGACUUAUAAAAGCAGAUAAAAAAAAAUGAAGUGCACGCGACCGCUCUUUUUUUGUUUGUCGUGGUGCUGUGACUUAGAGUUCCUUAUAGAUCUUUAGCGGGAAGGCCGUCGGGGACCGGAGAUCUAUUGCGGGUAUUUCGAAAUCAUAUUUUGGAUUGAAGUGUAUUCAACUCCUUCUGGACCCUCGACGUGCUUUCCACCUAAAGAAUAUUUAAAAAGAAAAAUGACACUCAACAUUUAGAACGGGUAUAGAGAAGAAACUGAGUGCUCGAUGUUUGUGUACGGAAGUAUGCCUCGCACACACAUACAUCUCCCCUUUGUCGCGCAUGUGUAAAAAAAAGUUUAUUACUUAGAUGAAGAUAUUUGUCUACGUCGUGUACACCUUUCUGUAAUUGUGGACAUCAUUGCAAUUCUUCGCGCAACCUUCGUUGCGGUUACUGCACUUACUUUAGUAAAGAAAGAAAAAAACCCGACAGUUGUGCUCAACCUGCGAUGCACUAUUACAUUUUUUUUCUUCCAAUUCUUGAGAUUUGUAAAAUGAGCAUCCACCCAUUACUAACGUAUACGUCCCAUCCGUGCGAGACUGCUGCACUUGGCGGUCUUUCAUUUUCUUUCAACUGAAAAAGAUGCUAAACAGUUUUGAAAUGUCACCAAGAAAUGAUACGUCCAUUUACUUGAUACGUACUAAAUGUCUGUUUCUACUGUUAAUUAGUCUACAUACGUUAGUCACGUUUUCGACGUUGCCACACAGUUUUCAAACAACAGGUGCGUUAAGCCGCUGUCCAGAGCAUUGCUUCCCUCUCGUCGAAUUUUGGUUCAAUUUUUUCUUAAUGUUAAUUGCUUUGGAAAAUCUGCUCAACAGAGUGACGAUGUAAAUUACCUUGUUAGUGCAGUAAUUUUAUUUUGGCAAUUACUUUGCUUUUUAGUGCAUAUUUUAGAAAGCUCUGUAAUAGAGAACGCACGCUCUUACUUAAAAAACUUGAUUUUCCUUUUUUAUUUAUUAUCUGCGAAUAGGCGUAAAAGCUAAGAAAAUAGCACCAAUAUCUCGAAUGCAGCUUGUUUGCUAUUCAAAAAAAAAAAAGUAUGUGGAUUGCCAUUCGUAUACCUGAGAUUACACGUUGUUAUCAUUGUGUAGCCAAGAUAGAAAUGGGAAAUCCCGAAUCGUGCUUGUAAUUUGAGAGCAGUGUGCGGUCAUUUGCAUUCCUCUGUGGACGGCAGCUUUCGCCCAAAACAAACAUUCGCCUAUAAAGCUUCGCCGGUGUUCACAAGCUCAAUCACCAAUUUUGUGAAAAGCGGUGGAUCCAUCGAACUAUCGACUUAACCCCGGAUCUUUUUUUUUUAAAUUUCUGACCGUACACAAUGUAGCAGGUUUGCCUCUUCUUGUUUCUUUGCUCAGAGAUGACAAACAGGAGUGUUUUUGUCUUGUUGGCAUAUUUCUCCAGCUAGUCAAUGUUUUGCGUGUGCAUGCGUCUGGUAUACAUAUUACAUGCAGUCGUGUUUUUUUCCUCCUCUCUCUCAUCUGGUUAAGAGGGUGAGGUUGAAAGUAUAUAUAGCUGAUAUCGCCUAUGAAGCGUUUGCGAAGAAAACAUUUCUUAUUACCGACCCCCCCCCCCCCCUUUUUUUUCUUCCUGUAGUUUGUGUUUUAUUGGUGCUAAUUUAGUUUAAGAACUGAUAUUUUAUUUCUCUCCUUCCUUUUUGUUGCAUCUGUGUGUGUUUCGUUGUUGUCUUCGUUGCAUAACCAUGACAAAUUAAGUUUUCGAGCUCCUUUAUUGUCCACUGAGGAGAAGUGUAAUUGCGCUCGUUCUCUGUUUUUAGCUGCUUUGCCUCCCGUACUUUUCGUCUUCUCAUAGUUUGUCUCUCUUCUUCUUCUUCUUUGCGAUGCUGGGGCCUGCACAAAUUCUGCUUGAUCGCCACCUGUCGCGCUGGUCCAUUCGAUUACCUACACUACCCGAAACUGGUGCUGCACACCACCGAUAAUCGUUUCACGUGUGUUGUAUGAUGACGUCUACAAGUUUUCAUUCGUCUGAACACGGUGCCAACGUUUGUGCACAAGUGCACAACGGCGUUCCUUGUAGAAUCGGAAGUGCAAUGUUGCGAACUCGUUGCUCUAUGCAUGCACGGAACUGACUCGCUAGCAUUUGCGGAGUGCAGCGUGAAUCGAAAGGGCCUCGCGCGGGAGGUCGGCUGGGUGCAUGCAGGUUUUUAAGAUGCAGCCUCCUGGCUUGCCGUGGGCUUUCUUCCUAGUUCGCUGCAAUUCGUGAGCCUGAAGGCUUUUCUGCGUGAUCGCAUUGCCAUGCUUGGACCGCAGCUUAUUGCUUGCUCGCGCCAGUGUUCCGGUUUUCUUUGAGGGACAGUCGCUGCAAUGUCUUUUAUUAUUUUUUCUUUGCCUAAUACAAGGUCAUCAGCGAGAGUGUUGUUGUCCUGAGAGAUGGUAGUUCUCUUGUGAAAGAAUGAUGUUGAGUUUAUUAGUUUUUUUUUUCUUCUCGUGUAUCACGUGUAUGUGAAAGAAGAAAAGAAAAAAAAGGUGUGUUGAGACUGUUCGCGGUCUUGCUUCACUUUCUUUUUUUUCUGUUACACGAAGGGAGACAGUCAUCAAGUGCGCAAUAAAAUAAGGCAGAUUCCCAAAAGUA